UCAGCACGGCUGAGCUUUUUCUCAACCUGUUUCCUAUCAAGAAUAGAACCUGAUGAAAAUGACCUCCUCAAGAGAGAGACUCUCAAGCAGGGCUUCUUAAAGUUGGAAAUCCCCACAGAUCACCUGGGGGGCUUGUUAAAAUGCAGAUUCUGACUCUGUAGGUCUGGGGUAGGGCCUGAGAUUCUGCAUUUCCAACAAGCUCCAAGAUGCCCCUGCUGCUGGUCUAGGAACCACAGUUUGAGUAGCCAGGAUCUAAGUGUCUCUUGAUGUCAGACUCUUCAGCUAUGAUUACUGAACAAUAAUUGGGCUAAUGGUGUUGGGUUUAAGACCCAGCAUUUUCCACAAGCAUGUAUACUAUAUGUACCUCACUUUGGAAAGGAUGGUCAAACUCUGGACCCACAGGCAGAUAAUGGCCAACUGGAAAAUUUCUUUAUGCAUCUUCUCAGAGAUCUCUUCUGAUGGAUCUGAAAAAAGGAAGAUGAACUUUAGAAAUAUAUUGUCAAAAUAAAAUCAAUCCUCAAGAAAUUAUGAUCCGGAGUGCAUUAUCCCCUCCUUCGGGAAGAAUGGACAUCUUUACAAGAUUAAGUCUACCCAACGAGGAACAUGAUGGAGUAAGUUAAGAUGAGGUCAUACUGGAUUAGAAUGGCCCCUAAAGCCAAUGACUGGUGUUCUCAUAAGAAGGCCAUGUGAAGAAAUACAGACACGGGCAGAGGGAAGAUGGCAUGUGGAGACAGAGGCAAAGAAUGGAGUGAUGCAGCUACAAGCCAAGGAACACCAAGGAUUGCUGGCAAACCACCAGAAGCUAGGAGAGAGGGGAUUCCUCCUAUAGAAAAAUCCAUGUCACCAAACUUGAGAGAAGAUUUUAAAAGCAUCAAAUUCCAGUGCUUCUUUCAGACCAAAGUCAACUGCCAUUGUUUCUUCUAUCAAGUUUUCAUAUAUAAUGUUCCUGUUUUUUUUGCUAGAAUAACUUUUUUCGGGAUUUUUCAUACAGUUAUGUAGGUGGCAAAUUGUCUACAUUUUUGCAUGUCUGAAAAUGUAUUUUAUUCUUACACUUGUAGUUUGGCUAAGCAUAAAUUAUAGGUUCCUAAUAAUUUUCCCUCAGAGUUUUAAAAGCAUCAUAUUCUUGGAGUUCUGAAAUUAUGAUAAUUCACCUCUCACCAUGGUUCCUGCUGCCCAAUUCCUCUCACACAGCUA
rnacentral:lncRNA from 1 species